rnacentral:rRNA from 1 species
CGCCCUCCCUCCGCCGCCACUACACGACCGUACCCGUAACCGGGUAACGGGGACCGGAACGGACCGUAACGGGUUACGGGGGGUAAAGGUUAAGUUUACGGGUAACGUAAACGUUACGGGGACCGGAAACGGACCGUACGACUCCACGCCAUGCCGCGUGAGUGAUGAAGGCUUAGGUUGUAAGCUCUUCAGUGGGAAGAGUAAUGACGGUACCACAGAAGAAGCCCGGCUAACUUCGUGCCAGCAGCCGCGGUAAUAC